ensembl:lncRNA
AGCUGAAAUCUGUAGGACAGUAGCUCUCCAGAAGCAGGGUUGGAGACCACUGUUCUAAAGUGAUACAAGCCUCGAUACGCGUUUCACUGAAAGCUGCCGGGAUUUCUCGACAGACGCUCCGAAGCCUCGGCACAGAACAUAACAUCACUAUUGAUAUUCCACAAUCCUGUGCGUUCCAUUCCGUGACAGUUAAGCUAAAGAGUAAAGCUGGCAUCUGAAAGUUGUGGUCAGUUUGUGUGUAAAUGUCAUUAAACCGUUACUCUGCCUCAGAAGUCUGUCCGAAAUCAGUUUCGUGAGGUGCCUUCGUGUACAAACGCUGCCUGCAAGUCAUUGCCUGCUAGGUCAGAGAGGCAACAAGUCAGCUGCCUAAGUUUUUGGAUGCAGACAUUGUCUAGUCUUGUCAAGGUUUACCCACACCUGAUUCCUUCCUAUUCGCCUGCAUUCUCAUGUCCUGACUUCUCGUCUUCAGCCUACCAACCUGCAAAGAGGAAAAGAAACGUUACUCACCUGCUUGGACUCUCACCUGUUACCCAUCUGUCUUCGCCGUCUGCCUCAUCCAUCAGAACUGUAAAGAGAUACAAGGAUCGGUUAUCAACCUGAGCUAAGUCCAGUCAUUCUCAAAGACUCUGAUUGCUCACCAGUUUGCUAUGCAUCUCUCCUCCGCACCAAGCUGUAAAUAAAGCGAU